UACGAAGGGGGCUAGCGUUGCUCGGAAUUACUGGGCGUAAAGCGCACGUAGGCGGCUUUUUAAGUCGGGGGUGAAAUCCUGGAGCUCAACUCCAGAACUGCCUUCGAUACUGGAAAGCUCGAGUCCGGGAGAGGUAAGUGGAAUCCUAGUGUAGCGGUGAAAUGCGUAGAGAUUAGGAAGAACACCAGUGGCGAAGGCGACUUACUGGACUGUAACUGACACUGAGGCAUGA
rnacentral:rRNA from 1 species